rnacentral:rRNA from 1 species
UGGGGAAUAUUGGGCAAUGGGGGCAACCCUGACCCAGCGACGCCGCGCGAGGGAAGAAGGCCUUCGGGUCGUAAACUUCUUUUGUACGUGAAGAAGCAGAUGACGGUAGCGUACGAAUAAGUCCCGGCUAACUACGUGCCAGCGGCCGCGGUAAUACGUAGGGGACGAGCGUUGUCCGGAAUUACUGGGCGUAAAGGGCGCGCAGGCUGCGCGUCGAGUCGGCUGUUAAAGAUCCGGGCUUAACCCGGUGAAGCGGUCGGGACCGACGAGCUGGAGUGCUGCAGAGGCAAGUGGAAUUCCCGGUGUAGCGGUGAAAUGCGUAGAUAUCGGGAAGAACACCGGUGGCGAAGGCGACUUGCUGGGCAGCAACUGACGCUGAGGCGCGAAAGCCAGGGGAGCAAACGG